UGACCAGACUCCUACGGGAGGCAGCAGUGGGGAAUAUUGCACAAUGGGGGAAACCCUGAUGCAGCGACGCCGCGUGAGCGAAGAAGUACCUCGGUAUGUAAAGCUCUAUCAGCAGGGAAGAAGAUGACGGUACCUGACCAAGAAGCUCCGGCUAAAUACGUGCCAGCAGCCGCGGUAAUACGGAGGAUGCGAGCGUUAUCCGGAUUUACUGGGUGUAAAGGGGGCGCAGACGGCGAUGCAAGCCAGGAGUGAAAGCCCGGGGCCCAACCCCGGGACUGCUCUUGGAACUGCGUGGCUGGAGUGCAGGAGGGGCAGGCGGAAUUCCUGGUGUAGCGGUGAAAUGCGUAGAUAUCAGGAGGAACACCGGCGGCGAAGGCGGCCUGCUGGACCGUGACUGACGUUGAGGCUCGAGAGCGUGGGGAGCAAACAGGAUUAGAUACCCCAGUA
rnacentral:rRNA from 1 species